rnacentral:rRNA from 1 species
GACAGAGGUCCCGAGCGUUAGGCGGAAUCACUGGGCUUAAAGCGUGUGUAGGCGGAUCGUUAAGUGCCUUGUGAAAUCCCAUGGCUUAACCAUGGAACUGCUUGGCAUACUGGCGAUCUUGAGCCACUUAGGGGCAACCGGAACAAAUGGUGGAGCGGUGAAAUGCGUAGAUAUCGGGAGGAACACCGGUGGCGAAGGCGGUUCUCUGGGCCUUACCUGACGCUGAGGAGCGAAAGCGUGGGGAGCGAACAGG